CCCCGCUAACAUCACAGGAGAAGACAGAGUGGAGCUGCCUGCUUCCUCCUUUGUUGUCAGUGUGACCCAUCCUAGCUGUGCAGCAGACUGCAGAAGGGAGCCGGUGCUAACGCAGGCUUGCCUGGCACCCUGAUAUCCAGCCGGAGCUGCUGAGGACUGCGAGGCAGGCAGACCAAUCCAGACCACUGUCUACUGAGCGAGUACGAUUAUUUAGGAAAACGGAUGGCCGAAAUUUAGACUGUCAUUCUCACAGGCUCCUCCUGCACACACACUGCGGCCGCGGGGACUCUCCACUCGAUGGCUGGUGGUGUCACUGCCAGUCGACAGCUGUCCCGCAUCCAGAGAGGACUGGUAUUGAUUUAGGUCACUGAGCCUGGUUUCUCCUUUAAAUGCUGUUCUAACUGAGGAGUGGGGAUCUGCGCCAGCCUUACAUGGGAGCUGGGGAUUCAUUCACACAACGUCAACGCGGUGAGUCGCUUGCCCAGGCCCCAGCCAGGCACACCGUGGCAAGCACCAUCUCCUUUUGUCCUAGCCUUUAUUCCUGCCGGUAGAGCAGCCUGGCAUCAGAAGCCCCCGGACCAUUUACACGAGUGGUGGGAAACCAGCCAUGGCUCCAGCAGAAGCGGUUUGGUCCCCAGGCUCCGAGCAGGACCUGCUCAGCUGCAAAUUCACGCUGCCAAGUUAGAAGCCACGUCUACAUUCAGGCUGCAGCUUGGCUCCUGGCUACGCGAAGGUAAAUACUCCUCGUGUGGGAAAUGCUACGGAGCCAGCAGGCAAAGAGACUUUAAAACUCGGUCGCUUUUGUGCCUCGUCCCAUGCCUCUGCCUUGCCGCACUGCGAAGAGAAAGCUGCAGGAGCCGGAGCUGGCACUUGCGAGAAUGCCGAGAGCAGCAGCUCCGACACGGCAGUCAGCUGACUUGCAGGGAGUUAUCAUUCAAUGUCCUCUCCAGAAUCAGGCCAGUUCCUAAGGUGGCACCAGACAGCUGACCGCCAACGUAGAGAGCAGCUGCAGGAGGGCGGCCCGCCUGUCCACGCACACCUGGCAGGGACUUCUGCGUCGCCUUCCUCUCCAGCGGGCAGUUUCUACUGCACAGCCUUCAGAACUUAACUAUUUCUGUUCUGCGUGCUAACGUGUCAUUCUUGGGACGACCGUUCCCGAGGGAAAUCGGGUUAAAACGCUCACUGUCCCUCCCAGGUGCCAUCUUAGUCCUCUCGAGAAAUGUGGAAGGAAAAAGAAAUAGAGAAGAGCUAAGGAUGGAACACUGAAGGUGUCUACUCUUCCUGAUGGAAUUAUAUUUGAUUUGACACUGAAAGACCUGCUCUUUCCACUGGGUGAGAAGAAGAAAUGAGAAUCAGCCUAACACCUGAGACAAACUACUCCCUGGAUAAACCUCCCCAGAGAGCAAAUGCCAGAACAAGCAAAGAUAAACUUCAUGUGGGCAACACCAACGCUGUGCAUUCUUAGCUGGAAUGCUUCAAGACUUCCCCGGGUGCCUGGGAACAAAGACAAUAUGGUCCACGGGCAGGAAAGAUACACAUUCCCACGCAGAGUUUAUACAAGUUACCCCACCAAGAGACAGGGGACCUGAUAACCUCUCGGAGUCCGGCUGCUCAGAGACAUCUGGGAAAGCUGAAGUCCAGACCACUGACGGAAAUCUGACAGCUCUGAUAAUGUGCAGUUGACCUGCCAACAUCAGUGGUUACACACCUAUGCAGACCCUCCAGAAGGGCAAAACCCCAGGCUUCACUGUCCUUCUGUUCUGAGCCUAGGCUUGCAUUCUCCACAGGCUGUAACACUGCCUCCCUUUAAAGACCAGCUCCCUCUCCUGCCUGGAGCCUACUCUGGAUUUACAUCCAGGUGCAAAUCCAUUGCGUGGUGGGAAUUCUUCAACCACAUGCAAAUCAUUCUGAAAGAUCAAGAUUCUUUUGCUAUGGAACUGCAGGGGCUAGGCUCUAGGAAAAUUUGCAUUUUGACUGGUAAGAUAGGCACAGUCAUGGGUUACAGAAAUGAAGGGACAAAGAGAUCAUUACAAAAUCAAAUUAACAAACAAAUGAGAUCCAAAUAUACUCUAUUCACUGUCUACAUUUUUUUUUGAAACAGGAAGAGACUAGAAUUUAGUGCUGAAAUGCAUCCAACUGAAAAGGAGCAAAAAUGAAUUUUAAUGAAUUACAACACAACUUGAGAUGCAGACUGGAUAAUUAGAGUCUCCAUUACUGUAACUCAGUGGAAAGCUGGCUUGAUUUAGCCCCCUUCAGAUGAUUUAUAAGAGAAAAUGACUGUAUUUCAAACUAAGAGUUCCAUAUAGACAGUAGUUAUCUAAAACAGCUUAAUUAUAAAGAGUAUUCAAGACAAUAUUAGAAAAUUUUAAAAACUUUUUCAAGCAAAUAUUUUUUCAUAUCUUGCUAAUACAUUAGUAUUUGUUACAGAAAAAUAAAACCAGAAAAAUGUCCUUAAGUUUAGUUCCAAAUGUUUUUCUUUGUGCUUUAAAUCAUCCUCCUUAAGCCAAACACAUUGACACUGAGAAACCAAGAUACCCAAAGCCAGCAAUGAAGAUGAACGGUGUGGGCAAAGGAAGGAAGGAAGGAAGGAAGGAAGGAAGGAAGGAAGGAAGAAAGGAAGGAAGGAGGGAAGGAAGGAAUACUUACAGGGAAAGCAUCACCAGCUAUAAAUGAGAUGGAACUGCAAGUCCUUUGACCACUGAGGACACAAACUUGGACAAUAAAUAGCGUCACCUACCCCUGAGGCUGACCUGGAAACACCCUCCUACCACACCCUCCACCACCCACCCCCAAACAGGCAUGGAGAUUCACAUCGCCUAGAGCUUUACGGUUAUCCACUGGCUCUGUGCAAAUCUGGGCGAACUCCACACGCAGGCUACAAGUGAUUCAAAGCUUACCUGGGAGGGACCUUCUGAAUCAGAUUCAAAAACACACUAAGAUGGGCCUUAGGAUAAAUGAUACUGAAGAUACGCUCUU